rnacentral:tRNA from 1 species
GACCCGGUAGCUCAGCGGAUAGAGCAGCAGACUUCGAAUCUGUGUUUGUCGGAGGUUCGAAUCCUCUCCGGGUCG